UGACUUAAGCAUAUCAAUAAGCGGAGGAAAAGAAACCAACAGGGAUUGCCUCAGUAACGGCGAGUGAAGCGGCAACAGCUCAAAUUUGAAAUCUGACCCCUUCGGGGCCCGAGUUGUAAUUUGUAGAGGAUGCUUCGGGUGCGGCGCCGGUCUAAGUUCCUUGGAACAGGACGUCAUAGAGGGUGAGAAUCCCGUAUGCGACCGGCGGCCAACCCCGUGUGAAGCCCCUUCGACGAGUCGAGUUGUUUGGGAAUGCAGCUCAAAAUGGGUGGUAAAUUUCAUCUAAAGCUAAAUACCGGCCAGAGACCGAUAGCGCACAAGUAGAGUGAUCGAAAGAUGAAAAGCACUUUGGAAAGAGAGUCAAACAGUACGUGAAAUUGUUGAAAGGGAAGCGCUUGCAACCAGACCUGCCCGCGGGCGAUCAGCCGUUAUUCUUAGCGGUGCACUCGUCCGCGAUCAGGCCAGCAUCGGUUCGAGCGGCCGGAUAAAGGCCUCGGGAAUGUAGCUCCCCCCGGGGAGUCUUAUAGCCCGGGGUGCAAUGCGGCCAGCCCGGACCGAGGACCGCGCUUCGGCUAGGAUGCUGGCGUAAUGGUUGUAAGCGACCCGUCUUGAAACACGGACC
rnacentral:rRNA from 1 species